GGCGGCGAGCAACCCGGGGGGGCCGCCAAUAAUAGCCCGCGCCGAGGAUGCCCAAGAAGCCGAGGAGGUAAGCCAGGUUCGGCAAGAAAAAGAGACUUCAAAAGACCGCCAUGAGCGCUCCGGAUCUUGGUCGCCGCUCACCCGGGCGUGGAGAGCCAGCGAAACAGCCUCCGCCCGGCUGGGCUUCCCCCCCCUAAGCAGGAUUUCCCGAUCUCGCUUCUCGUCCUCCUCGGCUUCUUCGGGGCUUGGGCGCGUCUCUCUCACUCUGCCGUCCCGCUCCGGCGCUCCUUCCCGGCGGAAUCCCGAGUCGAAGUCCCCGAUCGCCGCCCUGCCCCAUGGCCGGGGUGGAGGAGACGCCGGCUCAUCGCCGAGCCGACCCGGGGGUGGUGGAUGGAGGGGCGCAAGAACAAGCCGGCGAUCCCCGAGCCGAGUGGGAACGUGGCAAACUCCCGGGAUCGCCCGGGCGUCAACACCGAGCAAGAGAAAAUAA
rnacentral:lncRNA from 1 species